rnacentral:lncRNA from 1 species
CCUUAUUAUUUAUGUAAUAAAACCUACAAUUGACUUUCCUGAGACUUGUAGCAUUCCUUAGACAGGGGAUACCUGCCUUCUGAAACACUGCUCAGAGAAACUGGAGCAAAUAUGCUAUUUUUGAGAUUUAGUCGCCUAUGGGAAGAAAAUCAAAAUUUUAAAUUAGGAAACACUCAGUGGAUUCUGUAAGUUUCUUCAUGGAUAUGCAGAUGAUGAAACUGAAGGGGAGAGAGUGAUUUUCUUAAAAUUGGUAUUCUGAAAUUUAAUGCAGUACUUAUGAAGUCUUUUAUACACUGCCAUUGGAAUGAGUCACUGGACUGUAUUCACCUAAAGUUCAGGUCUGGUCAACAUUUUAGACCCAAAGGUCAACAAACUAUGUAGAUUUGACCCAGAUAACAGAUGCAGUCUGGUACCCAUUUGUGUCAUUUUUAUGUGGCCAAACCUAACUUUGUGGUUUCAUCAUGACAGGCUUUAGUUUGCAGUAGAGAUCUUGUGGCUCAGGAGCCUGAAGAGUUUACUACUCAGCUCUGUGAAUCUUCUUUAAGAUGAUCUUUGAGAAUACCUUUCCAUGUCGUCCUUAAAGCAAGCUAUUGUCAUCCAUUGCUAGCAUUCAGAUUCUCAAGACAAGUAUGUCAUGAGAAAUGAACCUGCAAAGACUACCUGCUUUCUUACCACACUCAUUUCUCCUCACCACUUGUGCCUGCUGAAGGAACAACUUCAGAAGAUGCAGAGUGAGUUUUGAUGGGAAAGAGACUCUUCAUGGGCUACUCUAGAACAAACAAUGGAAACGGAUCACAGGAAAGAAUGAAGGACAUGGUUCAUGUCUGAUUCAGGUGAUUUCUACAAACAGUUCCAGGAGCUUUCUCCAUUCUCCCAGUUGAGAUUGGCAUUAUGCUUAGAGAAGAAAAAGCGUCUCAAAAGAAAACUAGUCACUCUUGAGGUAGAAUUGCCUCACCUGAAGAGGGAGGAGGUAUUUUUCCUUUUCUCUGAGUCAAGAACUCAUGAUCACCAUCACCCAACCCUGCUCACACACACCCUGACCACCACGGGUCUCUAGGCACUUUAAAUUCUAUGAUUUAUAUGAACUCUUACAGGGACGCAGCUGUUCUCCUGGGCAUAUUCACAACACGUUUUUCCACCCACUCACCUCCCAAGGUGGGUUCUUAAGCAAGUAGCAAAAUGAGGUGUGGGCACUGACACAAAGACCAAUGAGGCAUUUUAAGAGAAGUUAAAUUCAGGAAGCUUUAGGGAAACAAACAAAAAUAAAUUUUAAGAAAUCUGUUUGCAUGGAAAGAUAAAACAAUAAUAGAAUGAGAGAGAGAGAGAGAGAGAGA